ACUCAAAGGAAUUGACGGGGGCUCACACAAGCGGUGGAGCAUGUUGCUUAAUUCGAAGCAACGCGAAGAACCUUACCUGGGUUUGACAUGCACGGAUUAACUCCAUGAAAGUGGAGCCACGCUCGCAAGAGUGGAACGUGCACAGGUGCUGCAUGGCUGUCGUCAGCUCGUGCUGUGAAGUGUCGGGUUAAGUCCCUUAACGAGCGCAACCCCUGUCGCUAGUUGCCAGCGCGUCAUGGCGGGGACUCUAGCGAGACUGCCGGUGUCAAACCGGAGGAAGGUGGGGAUGACGUCAAGUCCUCAUGGCCCUUACAUCCAGGGUGGCAAACGUGCUACAAUGGCGUGCACAAAGCGACGCGAGGCCGCGAGGCGGAGCAAAUCGCAAAAAACACGCCCCAGUUCAGAUUGCAGUCUGCAACCCGACUGCAUGAAGACGGAAUCGCUAGUAAUCGCGGAUCAGCCAUGCCGCGGUGAAUGUGUUCCUGAGCCUUGUACACACCGCCCGU
rnacentral:rRNA from 1 species